UAAACUACGAUUAGAUACCCUAUUAUUGUGAGUGUGAAAAUGUUUGAUUGUCGGAAUAGUAUUAGUUAAGUUCUUAAAAUUUAAAGAAUUUGGCGGUAUUUCAGUCCUUUCAGAGGAACCUGUCCCUUGAUCGAUAUUCCACGUUGUAUCUUACUUAGUUUUGUUGAUCAGCUUGUAUACCGCCGUCGUCAGAAUGUCCUUUCAGGGUAUGAAUUUUCUUUUAUUGGAAGUGAAUUAGAUGUCAGGUCAAGGUGCAGUUUAUAAUUAAGUGGAGAUGGGUUACAAUAAAAUUAUUUAUAUGGAAGAUGAUUUGAAAAUAUUAAAGUUGUCAGAAGGUGGAUUUGAUUGUAAUUUUUGAGAUUAAGAUAUAUUGAUUUUUGGCUCUGAGAUAUGCACACAUCGCCCGUCGCUCUUA
rnacentral:rRNA from 1 species